UCCAGGCCAUGCCAUUGCUGGGUGUUGGGGUUAACCCCCGAGGCCUUGGGAGCUGCCAAGUGUGGCAGACAGACGUAACACACCUUCCCAGUUUUGGUUGCCUCAAGUAUGUUCCUGUUGCAUGAACCUGACCUCAAAAGCUCCCAACAUCCAUGCAGCCCUUCGAGACAUGAAAAGCUUGAUUGGACAAGUGAAACAAGAAUCUACGCUACACUGAGUACAUCCUUCCAUUGAUAUUACUGUGUUUAUCACUGUUGCAGAUUUGCAUCCUACAGACAUCAUUGCCUAAUUGAAUGACAAAUGGUCUGAUCCCUUGCACAUUCUAGAACAUGUAUUUUUGCUGCAUCAGCUAAAAAAGACAGCAACUACAGUGUUUGAAUUGUUUGCCCAACUGAUAAUCAAAUGUCGUCAACAAUGCUCGCAAUUGAUGGCAGCAGAUCCCAUGAAAAAUAUUCAUCCUGUAGAGCAGGAAUUCUUUGAGGGGAGCUUUGUUAAUAAUGUUCCCUUGCAGAGUGCGCGGCAAGAUUUUACAGGACAGGUUAUCAUCUGAUUAUCAUCAGAUUGGUUAUCAUCUGCCCAGCCAUAAGCUAUUGCAAAUGGCAAAAACAAUCAGACUGUCAUUGAGACCCAAAAAUAGUCGGGGGCCAGUGCAAGGCCCUACUGUCUUCACUGAUGGGUCAGGCAAGACAGAGAAAGCCAUUGUUACCUGGGAGGAUGAGCCUGGAUGGCAAAUGUUGGAAGGCCAUGAAACAGGUUCUGUUCAAAUAAUUGAGUUGAAAGCUCUCACAACAGCAUCGAAAGGUUUUCUCAGGUACCUUUGAAUUUGGUCACUGGUUCCAGUUAUGUUAUGGGUGGCACCUCAGCCUUACAAGAUUGCACAAACCAGGGCAUCGCAUGGAUUUUUCCAUCAGAAUGCACAUACUCUGCAGAAACAGUUUCAUUGAAUGGCAAUGAAGGCUCGUGACAUUGUUGCUUCUUGUGAUGACUGUCGUGGGUUUGCUGUGCCUUUGCCAGCAGGGGUGAACCCCAGGGGUCUAAAGGCCCUGCAGCUUUGGCCAACAGCUGUCACUCACAUAGCUCAAUUUGGCUGGUUUAGGUACAUGCAUGUGUCUAUUGACACCUUUCCCUCUGCCAUGUGGGCAUCUACUCAUACUGGGGAAAAGGGUCAUGAUGUGAUUGCCCAUUGGAUGAUGACUUUUGUGAUUCUGGGCAUCUCUUCUGCUGUGAAGACUGACAAUGGCCCUGCUCAUGUCUCACAGAAGACAAGGCAGUUUUUGCAGCUGUGGGGAGUCUCACACAAGUUUGACACUCCACAUUCUCCAACCUUCUCAAGCCAUUGUUGAACGCACUCAUGGUACUCUAAAGCGUGUUUUGGACAAACAGAAAAGGGGAAUGGCUGGGGAAACACCACACAGCCGAUUGGAAAAAGCUUUGUACACCAUCAAUCAUCUUAAUGUGCCACAAGAUUCAAAUAAUUCUGUCAUUGUACAUCACUUCAUUAUAGGCUUCAGAUGAGAUGCACCUGCCUCGAGCGACGGUCUUUAUACGUGACCUAACCACAAACGAGUGGGAGGGCAUGCGUGAACUUAUCGUCUGGGGUCGCGGGUACGCUUGCGUUUCAACGGAUACUGGGUGUGCUGCCCACCUGCAAGAUGUGUCCACCCUGACCUGCGACAUCAGAAACAGAAUGUGGCCAAUGCACAGCCUUCAAAUGCUGACCAACAUACCGAUCAUCAACCAGAUGAUCCCUCUACAAGCAGAGGAUGAACAUUCAUCUGUUCAUGUCAGAACUGUUUUGAAGCCAAUGGGAAAUUGUUAACAAUAAUAGGUUUUAGUUUUGGUGAACAGUGGCAUGUUCUCAUGAUCUUUUGCAGGGAACAGCAACAGGUUUGAAAAUUCUCUGGGAACUCGAGGUAUCCUCAGGUCUCCUGAAUUGCUCUCCCUUGCACAGAGCCCCACAAGAACCACAAGAACAUAUUUUCCUUUUCUUUUUUUUAAAUAAAGGAGGAGGACUUGUAGAUACUGGUGAAGAGUCAAGGAAUAAUGCAGAUCAGAUUUUCCCAAGCUACACAAAGGAAAACAGAAGUGAAGGAAUUAAUAGCAGAGAUUAACACCUGGGGUUGUGCACAGAACAGUGCAUGAGAGACGUGAUGUUUGGUAAAGGCAUGUUUUCAAGAAGUGAUGCCAUCAUUGGACCAAUGAGUUUGUUUCUAUCCUUGUACUAAGAUCCAGUCUAUAAAAGUGUGUCUGAUUUGUAAUAAAGUACUUCUGUCUUCAGAGGUCAGUGUUGCUAAAUCCUUUUGCCAUUUCUAGCACUACAGUGACACUUACCUGGACAGUUGGUCUGAAAUACUUGUAGUCUUUUUCAUUCUACACAAGUUAAUUUCCAGCUUGAUACAGUCUAAGCAUUGCUUGCAAUGGCACAAAUCAGGCUGCUGGUGUGGUUUUGCACUGCUUUGCAAGGACACAACCAUGAAACAGGAAGAACUUGUUUCAGGCACCAGCAGUAUAGAUUUUUUAGCCCUAUAAAAUCCUGGCUGGCUGUGAUCCAGUUCACCACUUGGUUUUAGUGGCAGACUCUCAGUUCCAAGCACUUAUUUCCAAAGCCUGUGGAGUCCCUGACUCAGUAGUGCAGCAUGAGAAUUCCCUUAUCAGUUGGUGGGCUGGGGAGAGGGGAAGGGAACAGCUCAGCCCCUGGGCUCCUGGGUGGCUUUUCCACUUCUGGGGUCCAGGCUCUCCAGUGCUUUCACUGCAAGGGGUUCAGUCCUGUGGCUCGCUGCCGGGUGCAGCUCACUGCAGGUGAGGGAGCAGCACAAGCAGCUGCUUCCUCUUGGCCAUUCCCUGUCUAAAGCCCCCCUCUGGUCCUGGUGGGAGAUGUCUCUGACUGCAGCCCUUUGCUGUUUGUGUCCAGGUGGCAGGGCCACGGCUAGCGCUGACGCAGGUGGGGAUAGGCCUGAGGCUCAGGAGAACAAGGAGGGAUUCCUUUCCAAACUUAAGAAAAUGUUUACCUCCUGACACCCCAUCCGAGGAAAGCGUUCUACUGGGAACUAGGAGCCAGCAGCAGCAGCAGGUCAUCCAUGCAGUUGGGGGUGAAUCUUUCUGGCAGCCAGGCUCUAGA